rnacentral:rRNA from 1 species
CAUGCAAGUCGAACGGCAGCACGGGUGCUUGCACCUGGUGGCGAGUGGCGAACGGGUGAGUAAUACAUCGGAACAUGUCCUGUAGUGGGGGAUAGCCCGGCGAAAGCCGGAUUAAUACCGCAUACGAUCUACGGAAGAAAGCGGGGGACCUUCGGGCCUCGCGCUAUAGGGUUGGCCGAUGGCUGAUUAGCUAGUUGGUGGGGUAAAGGCCUACCAAGGCGACGAUCAGUAGCUGGUCUGAGAGGACGACCAGCCACACUGGGACUGAGACACGGCCCAGACUCCUACGGGAGGCAGCAGUGGGGAAUUUUGGACAAUGGGCGAAAGCCUGAUCCAGCAAUGCCGCGUGUGUGAAGAAGGCCUUCGGGUUGUAAAGCACUUUUGUCCGGAAAGAAAUCCUGAGGGCUAAUAUCCUUCGGGGAUGACGGUACCGGAAGAAUAAGCACCGGCUAACUACGUGCCAGCAGCCGCGGUAAUACGUAGGGUGCGAGCGUUAAUCGGAAUUACUGGGCGUAAAGCGUGCGCAGGCGGUUUGCUAAGACCGAUGUGAAAUCCCCGGGCUCAACCUGGGAACUGCAUUGGUGACUGGCAGGCUAGAGUAUGGCAGAGGGGGGUAGAAUUCCACGUGUAGCAGUGAAAUGCGUAGAGAUGUGGAGGAAUACCGAUGGCGAAGGCAGCCCCCUGGGCCAAUACUGACGCUCAUGCACGAAAGCGUGGGGAG